rnacentral:rRNA from 1 species
GUGGGGAAUUUUGGACAAUGGGCGCAAGCCUGAUCCAGCAAUGCCGCGUGCAGGAAGAAGGCCUUCGGGUUGUAAACUGCUUUUGUACGGAACGAAACGGUCCUGGCUAAUAUCCGGGGCUAAUGACGGUACCGUAAGAAUAAGCACCGGCUAACUACGUGCCAGCAGCCGCGGUAAUACGUAGGGUGCGAGCGUUAAUCGGAAUUACUGGGCGUAAAGCGUGCGCAGGCGGUGCUGUAAGACAGGCGUGAAAUCCCCGGGCUCAACCUGGGAAUUGCGCUUGUGACUGCAGUGCUGGAGUGCGGCAGAGGGGGAUGGAAUUCCGCGUGUAGCAGUGAAAUGCGUAGAUAUGCGGAGGAACACCGAUGGCGAAGGCAAUCCCCUGGGCCUGCACUGACGCUCAUGCACGAAAGCGUGGGGAGCAAACAGGAUUAGAAACCCGGGUAGUCC